rfam:Gossypium hirsutum cultivar TM-1 chromosome 1, whole genome shotgun sequence
UGUUAAAAAUUUUAUCCAUUUAUACUGUUAAAAACUAGUGUGCCUGACGGAAUAACCAAAUAAUCAUGUGUACCUCAUAUUGAUAUACAAGGACAAAUUUUUAACGGUAGAAAUUGAUGAAAUUUUUAACA